UACAGAGGUCUCAAGCGUUGUUCGGAUUCAUUGGGCGUAAAGGGUGCGUAGGCGGCGUGGUAAGUCGGGUGUGAAAUCUCGGAGCUUAACUCCGAAACUGCAUUCGAUACUGCCGUGCUUGAGGACUGGAGAGGAGACUGGAAUUUACGGUGUAGCGGUGAAAUGCGUAGAUAUCUGGAGGAACACCGGUGGCGAAGGCGGCAUCCUGGACCAACACUGACGCUGAGGAGCGAAAGCCAGGGGAGCAAACGGG
rnacentral:rRNA from 1 species